ACGAACGCUGGCGGCACGCUUAACACAUGCAAGUCGAACGAGAGAAGAGAAGCUUGCUUUUCUGAUCUAGUGGCGGACGGGUGAGUAACACGUGAGCAAUCUGCCUUUCAGAGGGGGAUACCGAUUGGAAACGAUCGUUAAUACCGCAUAAUAUAAUUGAACCGCAUGAUUUGAUUAUCAAAGAUUUAUCGCUGAAAGAUGAGCUCGCGUCUGAUUAGCUAGUUGGUAAGGUAACGGCUUACCAAGGCGACGAUCAGUAGCCGGACUGAGAGGUUGAUCGGCCACAUUGGGACUGAGACACGGCCCAGACUCCUACGGGAGGCAGCAGUGGGGAAUAUUGCACAAUGGAGGAAACUCUGAUGCAGCGAUGCCGCGUGAGGGAAGAAGGUUUUAGGAUUGUAAACCUCUGUCUUCAGGGACGAAAAAAGACGGUACAUGAGGAGGAAGCUCCGGCUAACUACGUGCCAGCAGCCGCGGUAAUACGUAGGGAGCGAGCGUUGUCCGGAAUUACUGGGUGUAAAGGGAGCGUAGGCGGGAUCGCAAGUCAGAUGUGAAAACUAUGGGCUUAACCCAUAAACUGCAUUUGAAACUGUGGUUCUUGAGUGAAGUAGAGGUAAGCGGAAUUCCUAGUGUAGCGGUGAAAUGCGUAGAUAUUAGGAGGAACAUCAGUGGCGAAGGCGGCUUACUGGGCUUUAACUGACGCUGAGGCUCGAAAGCGUGGGGAGCAAACAGGAUUAGAUACCCUGGUAGUCCACGCCGUAAACGAUGAUUACUAGGUGUGGGGGGACUGACCCCUUCCGUGCCGCAGCAAACGCAAUAAGUAAUCCACCUGGGGAGUACGACCGCAAGGUUGAAACUCAAAGGAAUUGACGGGGGCCCGCACAAGCAGUGGAGUAUGUGGAUUAAUUCGAAGCAACGCGAAGAACCUUACCAGGUCUUGACAUCGUAUGCAUAGCUCAGAGAUGAGUGAAAUCUCUUCGGAGACAUAUAGACAGGUGGUGCAUGGUUGUCGUCAGCUCGUGUCGUGAGAUGUUGGGUUAAGUCCCGCAACGAGCGCAACCCUUACUGUUAGUUGCUACGCAAGAGCACUCUAGCAGGACUGCCGUUGACAAAACGGAGGAAGGUGGGGAUGACGUCAAAUCAUCAUGCCCCUUAUGACCUGGGCCUCACACGUACUACAAUGGCUGUUAACAGAGGGAUGCAAAGCCGCGAGGUGGAGCGAACCCCUAAAAGCAGUCUUAGUUCGGAUUGUAGGCUGCAACCCGCCUACAUGAAGUCGGAAUUGCUAGUAAUCGCAGAUCAGCAUGCUGCGGUGAAUACGUUCCCGGGCCUUGUACACACCGCCCGUCACGCCAUGGGAGUCGGUAACACCCGAAGCCUGUAGUCUAACCGCAAGGAGGACGCAGUCGAAGGUGGGAUUGAUGACUGGGGUG
rnacentral:rRNA from 1 species